rnacentral:rRNA from 1 species
CCUACGGGUGGCAGCAGUGAGGAAUAUUGGUCAAUGGGCGCGAGCCUGAACCAGCCAAGUCGCGUGGGGGAAGACGGUCCUAUGGAUUGUAAACCUCUUUUGUCGGGGAGCAAAAGGCGCCACGCGUGUCGUUCCGAGUGUACCCGAAGAAAAAGCAUCGGCUAACUCCGUUCCAGCAGCCGCGGUAAUGCGGAGGAUGCGAGCGUUAUCCGGAUGUAUUGGGGUUAAAGGGUGCGUAGGGGGAAGCUCAAGUCAGCGGUAAAAUUGAGAGGGUCAACCUCUUCGAGAAGUUGAAACUGGUUGUCUUGAGUGAGCGCGAGGUAUGCGGAAGGCGUGGUGUAGCGGUGAAAUGCAUAGAUAUCACGCAGAACUCCGAUGGCGAAGGCAGCAUACCGGCGCGCAACUGACGCUCAUGCACGAAAGUGUGGGUAUCGAACAGGAUUAGAUACCCCAGUAGUC